GGUAGCGUGGCCGAGCGGUCUAAGGCGCUGGUUUAAGGCACCGGUCUCUUCGGAGGUAUGGAUUCGAGUCCCAACGCUGCCA
rnacentral:tRNA from 1 species